rnacentral:hammerhead_ribozyme from 1 species
GCACUGCUGACGAGUCCCGAACAGGACGAAACAGCUGUCGAGUGC